AGGUAGAGCACUGUUUGGACGAGGGGCCCCUCUCGGGUUACCGAAUUCAGACAAACUCCGAAUGCCAAUUAAUUUAACUUGGGAGUCAGAACAUGGGUGAUAAGGUCCGUGUUCGAAAGGGAAACAGCCCAGACCACCAGCUAAGGUCCCAAAAUAUAUGUUAAGUGGAAAAGGAUGUGGCGUUGCCCAGACAACUAGGAUGUUGGCUUAGAAGCAGCCAUCAUUUAAAGAGUGCGUAAUAGCUCACUAGUCGAGUGACACUGCGCCGAAAAUGUACCGGGGCUAAACAUAUUACCGAAGCUGUGGAUUGUCCUUUGGACAAUGGUAGGAGAGCGUUCUAAGGGCGUUGAAGCAUGAUCGUAAGGACAUGUGGAGCGCUUAGAAGUGAGAAUGCCGGUGUGAGUAGCGAAAGACGGGUGAGAAUCCCGUCCACCGAUUGACUAAGGUUUCCAGAGGAAGGCUCGUCCGCUCUGGGUUAGUCGGGUCCUAAGCUGAGGCCGACAGGCGUAGGCGAUGGAUAACAGGUUGAUAUUCCUGUACCACCUAUAAUCGUUUUAAUCGAUGGGGGGACGCAGUAGGAUAGGCGAAGCGUGCGAUUGGAUUGCACGUCUAAGCAGUAAGGCUGAGUAUUAGGCAAAUCCGGUACUCGUUAAGGCUGAGCUGUGAUGGGGAGAAGACAUUGUGUCUUCGAGUCGUUGAUUUCACACUGCCGAGAAAAGCCUCUAGAUAGAAAAUAGGUGCCCGUACCGCAAACCGACACAGGUAGUCAAGAUGAGAAUUCUAAGGUGAGCGAGCGAACUCUCGUUAAGGAACUCGGCAAAAUGACCCCGUAACUUCGGGAGAAGGGGUGCUCUUUAGGGUUAACGCCCAGAAGAGCCGCAGUGAAUAGGCCCAAGCGACUGUUUAUCAAAAACACAGGUCUCUGCUAAACCGUAAGGUGAUGUAUAGGGGCUGACGCCUGCCCGGUGCUGGAAGGUUAAGAGGAGUGGUUAGCUUCUGCGAAGCUACGAAUCGAAGCCCCAGUAAACGGCGGCCGUAACUAUAACGGUCCUAAGGUAGCGAAAUUCCUUGUCGGGUAAGUUCCGACCCGCACGAAAGGCGUAACGAUUUGGGCACUGUCUCAACGAGAGACUCGGUGAAAUCAUAGUACCUGUGAAGAUGCAGGUUACCCGCGACAGGACGGAAAGACCCCGUGGAGCUUUACUGUAGCCUGAUAUUGAAAUUCGGCACAGCUUGUACAGGAUAGGUAGGAGCCUUUGAAACGUGAGCGCUAGCUUACGUGGAGGCGCUGGUGGGAUACUACCCUAGCUGUGUUGGCUUUCUAACCCGCACCACUUAUCGUGGUGGGAGACAGUGUCAGGCGGGCAGUUUGACUGGGGCGGUCGCCUCCUAAAAGGUAACGGAGGCGCUCAAAGGUUCCCUCAGAAUGGUUGGAAAUCAUUCAUAGAGUGUAAAGGCAUAAGGGAGCUUGACUGCGAGACCUACAAGUCGAGCAGGGUCGAAAGACGGACUUAGUGAUCCGGUGGUUCCGCAUGGAAGGGCCAUCGCUCAACGGAUAAAAGCUACCCCGGGGAUAACAGGCUUAUCUCCCCCAAGAGUUCACAUCGACGGGGAGGUUUGGCACCUCGAUGUCGGCUCAUCGCAUCCUGGGGCUGUAGUCGGUCCCAAGGGUUGGGCUGUUCGCCCAUUAAAGCGGUACGCGAGCUGGGUUCAGAACGUCGUGAGACAGUUCGGUCCCUAUCCGUCGUGGGCGUAGGAAAUUUGAGAGGAGCUGUCCUUAGUACGAGAGGACCGGGAUGGACAUACCUCUGGUGUACCAGUUGUCGUGCCAACGGCAUAGCUGGGUAGCUAUGUGUGGACGGGAUAAGUGCUGAAAGCAUCUAAGCAUGAAGCCCCCCUCAAGAUGAGAUUUCCCAACUUCGGUUAUAAGAUCCCUCAAAGAUGAUGAGGUUAAUAGGUUCGAGGUGGAAGCAUGGUGACAUGUGGAGCUGACGAAUACUAAUCGAUCGAAGACUUAAUCAA
rnacentral:rRNA from 1 species